rnacentral:rRNA from 1 species
GUAGGUGGCAAGCGUUGUCCGGAAUUAUUGGGCGUAAAGCGCGCGCAGGCGGUCCUUUAAGUCUGAUGUGAAAGCCCACGGCUCAACCGUGGAGGGUCAUUGGAAACUGGGGGACUUGAGUACAGAAGAGGAAAGCGGAAUUCCAAGUGUAGCGGUGAAAUGCGUAGAGAUUUGGAGGAACACCAGUGGCGAAGGCGGCUUUCUGGUCUGUAACUGACGCUGAGGCGCGAAAGCGUGGGGAGCAAACAGGAUUAGAUACCCUGGUAGUCCACGCCGUAAACGAUGAGUGCUAAGUGUUAGGGGGUUUCCCGCCCCCUUAGUGCUGCAGCUAACGCAAUAAGCACUCCGCCUGGGGAGUACGGCCGCAAGGCUG